GGAUUUUUCCUCCCUGAUGACUUUUGUCUGGUUUAGAGUCCGUGAACCAACCCCAAAAUAUAAACCAUUUCUGAAAAUUCAGUUUUCAUUGAAAAUUUUGAACAAAAAAUAGAUUCACUCUUGUGGUGUUUGAAAAGUCUUUUCACUCAAUUCAGAAACAAGCUACCUAAGGGAGAGUUCAUGUGUUAGGCCGAGGGCAUGGAGACUAAUCCUUGAGCUCUAUUACCACUCUGGCUAUUGAGGAGCUUUAAUAGUUCAACAUCGUUGCCCCUUUUUUCCCAGUUGGGGAAACGGAAGCUCUCAGAUGUGACUUGCCCAAGAUCACCCGCUAAGGAGCAGCCAGCAUUGCGAUACGCACACAUUGACAACCAAGCCUUCUGGGUCAGAGUGUGGAUUCUACACUUGUGUAGAAGAAACACCAGGUAAAAGAGACAGAUUAGAAAUAUGUAGUGAUGGUUGCACAAAAAAGGGGCAUCUCUGUGGACAUUUGUGUUCAAAGAUGUGCAACAUCUAGUUUCCUCCUGUAGGCUAUGUGCUUUACUAACUCAACGCAGACUGCUGGCAAGACAUGCAUGAUAGGUCAUCGGAACGAUUCAUCGCAGAGCACAAGAUACACACGUGUAAUCUAAGAAGACAAAGCUAGAGCCCAGAUGUCCUUUUCCUCGGUCACAAAGAAAGAAAGCCAGAAACAAAACAGGGACCAAACCAAAGCUUUUUUAGUAUGUAUAUUUGUGCUGAAUAUAAAAAGACAGAUGUGAAACUUACAUAGCAUGGCUAAUAGUUCAACAGGAAGUAAGCAAUCUUGUCUUCUACCAAGAAAAAUAAGAUGUCCUGAAGAAAAUACAAUCCUGUCAAUGGCUAUCCUCAGAAGCACCAUACUGGACUAGGACCACCAUUGGUCUGUUCCAAUAUUCCUGUGUUCCUCUGUGUCCUAGAGCUAACAUCCCUGGGGAAACUUUUCACAUGCUCCAAAUCCUAUUUGUCUGUGUGAUCUAAUCAAUGCAGACUAUGCGGGAGUAUGCUCCAAUAUACACAAUAUAGAAUCAAGCCAAAAGCCAACUGAAUAUGGUUGUUGACGAAGACCACCCCUGUUUAAUCUAAGCAAAUGCUAUGUGUGGUCAUGUUCUACUGAAAGAAGAUAACAUACGGUACCAAUAUUGAAACUUAUUUAUUGCAUCUGGCAUAGUAUCAAGAAUGACUGUUAUCAAGGAAUUAACCUUCAAUACCU
rnacentral:lncRNA from 1 species